rnacentral:rRNA from 1 species
UGCGUAGGCGGUUUGUUAAGUCAGGGGUGAAAUCCCAGGGCUCAACCCUGGAACUGCCUUUGAUACUGUCGAUCUGGAGUAUGGAAGAGGUGAGUGGAAUUCCGAGUGUAGAGGUGAAAUUCGUAGAUAUUCGGAGGAACACCAGUGGCGAAGGCGGCUCACUGGUCCAUUACUGACGCUGAGGUGCGAAAGCGUGGGGAGCAAACAGGAUUAGAUACCCCUGUA